AGCGGGGUGGAGCAGUGGUCAGCUCGUCAGGCUCAUAACCUGAAGGUCGUGGGUUCAAAUCCUACCCCCGCCACCA
rnacentral:tRNA from 5 species